rnacentral:rRNA from 1 species
CCAAAAAUCUAGCCCCAUCUUUUAAUACUUUUAAAUACGACUAAAAUAUUUUAGCAGUUUAGUAAAGAAGAUUAAAAAACUUUUAAGAGCUAUAAAUCAGUACCGCAAGGGAAACAUGAAAUAAAAAUGAAAUAAACCUCAAGCAUAAAAAAGUAGAGAUUUACCCUUGUACCUUUUGCAUCAUGGUUUAGCUAGUCUAAUUAGGCAAAAAGAUCUUAAGUCUAACCCCCCGAAACUAAGUGAGCUAAUUUAGGGCUGCUUAUUGAGCUAACCCAUCUAUGUAGCAAAAUAGUGGGAAGACCCUAAAAUAGAGGUGAUAAACCUAACGAACUUAGUAAUAGCUGGUUUCUCAAGAGAAGAAUUUUAGUUCAGCCUAAAGAAAUCCAUAACUUCAAAAUGUUUCAAACCUUUAGAGUAACUCAAACGAGGUACAGCCCGUUUGACACAGGAUACAACCUUAACUAAUGGGUAACAAUCAACAAUAACACUAAGUAGGCCUAAAAGCAGCCACCCUCUAAAAAGCGUCAAAGCUUAACUCAUUAAUACCAAUUCUUAAAUUUACACCAACCCCUUUAACUGUAUCGAGAAAUUCUAUAAACCUAUAGAACUUUUAAUGCUAAAACUAAUAACAAGAGAAAACCUCUCCUAAUGCCAGUAUAAGCCAGCAAGAACCCACCACUGGCAAUCAACAAAUAUUAAUAGUAACUCAACCCAGAAAACCCUAUUACACCACCUGUUAACCUUACACUAGAGCAUUUCAAGAAAGAUUUAAAGAAAAAGAAGGAACUCGGCAAAUUCUGAUCCCGCCUGUUUACCAAAAACAUCGCCUCUUGCCCCCCCCCCCUAAGAGGUCCAGCCUGCCCAGUGACUCUGUUCAACGGCCGCGGUAUUCUAACCGUGCAAAGGUAGCGUAAUCACUUGUUUUCUAAAUAAAGACUAGUAUGAAAGGCAUCACGAGGAUUAAACUGUCUCCUUUUUCUAAUCAGUGAACCUAACCUCCCCGUGAAGAGGCGGGAAUAAUGAUAUAAGACGAGAAGACCCUGUGGAGCUUAAAACAUUAAAACACUGCCCCAAAGCCCCUCACCCAACCCAUAGCACCUUGAUUUAAUGUUUUUGGUUGGGGUGACCGCGGAGAAAAACUCAUCCUCCGUAAUGAAAGAAAAUAUACCUUAGCAAUAAACUACAACUUUAUGCAUCAAAAAAUUGACAUCACCGACCCAAUAAGUUGAUCAAUGAACCAAGUUACCCCAGGGAUAACAGCACAAUCCACUUUAAAAGCUCCUAUCGACAAGUGGGCUUAUGACCUCGAUGUUGGAUCGGGAUAUCCUAGUGGUGCAGCCGCUACUAAAGGUUCGUUUGUUCAACGAUUAAAACCCCACGUGAUCUGAGUUCAGACCGGAGCAAUCCAGGUCAGUUUCUAUCUAUAAAGCACUACUUUCAGUACGAAAGGACCAAAGUAAUAUGGCCUAUACCUACGCAAGCCAUAACUAACUAUUUACGACAACUCUCAAAAGAUACUUAACCUUCUUUCUUCGCUUAAGAAAAAAACA